rnacentral:pre_miRNA from 1 species
UCUUCAUAAUAGUGGUGAUCAUGAUGCCCAUAAUGAUCUUCGUGAUGACCAUGGUGAUCAUGGUGAUCGUGGUGGCUAUGAUGGUCAUCGUGAUAA